UACGUAGGGUGCGAGCGUUGUCCGGAAUUAUUGGGCGUAAAGAGCUUGUAGGCGGUUUGUCGCGUCUGCUGUGAAAUCUCAAGGCUCAACCUUGAGCUUGCAGUGGGUACGGGCAGACUAGAGUGUGGUAGGGGAGACUGGAAUUCCUGGUGUAGCGGUGAAAUGCGCAGAUAUCAGGAGGAACACCGGUGGCGAAGGCGGAUCUCUGGGCCAUUACGGACGCUGAGGAGCGAAAGCGUGGGGAGCGAACAGG
rnacentral:rRNA from 1 species